rnacentral:lncRNA from 1 species
UUCUCAAAGAUCGACUUAAGGUCGGGUUAUCAUCAACUAAGGGUCAGAGAUGAAGAUCGAGAGGCUGUGUUGGAAGCUAAUUAUCCUAAUGAAAAGCUGGGAGUAACUGAGGAGCAGUUGACUCUUAGCAAGGAUGGAAUCCUAAGACUGAAUGGACGUAUAUGGGUUCCAGUUUACGGAGGACUACGUGAUGUUGUUCUCCAGGAAGCCCAUAGUUCCAAAUACUCGGUC